UUAGUCGUCAGUGUUUGUCAAGAUGGCGUGAUAUGUUCAUGUUCAUAUAGAUGGAUGUUGGAUUUAUUGGUCUACUUUAAAAAUUAACGGAUAUUUUGAAGGUACGUACAUAUAUAGGUAUUAAAUAAAAGUAAAUUGGGUAAUUUAAGAUGUAAUAAUAAUAUUGUUGCGUAUCCGAAUGGUUAAAAAAGAAACAUAAUAGUAUCUUUAUAUGCUUUUUAGGUAUAAUGAUGGACGACUCUGAAAUAAAGGAGCUUAUUAUUCUAACUGGGAAAUAUGCCACAAUUUAAAGCUGGGACAGAAUGAUAUAAUAUAUAGCUUCAGAACAAUAUUAAGAAAGGAGUUAUUAACCAACUGUGGGGCCUUCCAGAAAUGGUAGAACUUCAUACAUGUAGUGAAUUGCUGAUAUACAAAGUGCUAUUAACAAAAGAAGGAACAUUUGAGGAAGUUGGAUUUGCCUCUCCAUCCUUUUAUUGUUGUGUAGAAGAUGGUAGAAGCCAGUGGUUUAAGAGUGGAGAAAAUAUUUGUAUGUAAUAAUAACGUUUUAUAUCUUGUUUUAUUAAUAAAUAAUGAUUUUACCUUAACACAA